GUGUGCAGUUGGAGACAAAGAGCAACGCAAAAGUAGUGAGAGAAGGAGACAGUGUCGAGGAUUAAUCUCAUACCAACACACUCCACAGCAGUUCUCUAUCCACAUUCCUGCCUGAACGCGUCCACACCACCCAGACGGCUUCUGACAUCAUUAGCAGCGUACAUGUAGCAGCUUCUUCUUUUAGCCGCCACGGACCAUCACUUUCACUGGGUAAAAUGACUAAAACUUCUGAACCAGGACGCCAGUAUUUGGAUCAAGUCGCUUGUGAAGAACAAGGUGAAAAAGCCAGUAGAUUUGAUAAGGGAUAAGAAAGGAUUUGGAUUUGAAAUGAAAUGCCACCAAACCCCAACCUUAGUGAGCGGCUUCACCUGGAGGACAUAACAGGUUCAAGACUCAACAACCCCAACCUCCACCAUGCAGGCAAUUGGGACAAUCUGUAGUGUUGCAGUAACUAAGCUAUAAUCACUAGCCAGCUCUCCACCCAUUAACUGCCAGGUGACACCCAUGUACAAUAUAACUAUUAGGUGUUUAUCUAUACCUCUCACAUUAUAUGAUACAUAUCUCACAUACCCCACAAAACCAGAACCAACUUGAAUGCCAUGAGGUUUACUAAGCACAGUCUGCCCACUAGUUGAUUGUUUGGAAUGGUAGGAAAGGCCACAUAAUGAUGAAAAUGGACAAACAUCCUCCAGAAAAAGGACUCUAAUGUUCACAGCAGCCUGCCACUUGGAUGAUGCAAUAUGAGCACAGAAGUGUAAAGAAAAAAAAAAAAAAUAAAAAAUAAACAGUGGAAGGGU